rnacentral:rRNA from 1 species
UACGUAGGGUGCAAGCGUUGCCCGGAUUUAUUGGGCGUAAAGGGCGCGUAGGCGGCUCUGCACGUUCGUUGUGAAAUCGCCCGGCUCAACUGGGCGGGGUCAGCGGAUACGGCAGAGCUUGAGCAAGCUAGGGGGCAAUGGAAUUCACGGUGUAGCAGUGAAAUGCGUAGAGAUCGUGAGGAAGACCAACGGCGAAGGCAGCUCUCUGGACAAUUCCUGACGCUCAGGCACGAAGGCCAGGGGGAGCAAACGGGG